CUUCCUUUUUCCUUUACGCAAUCUCACUCUCUCUCUCUCUCUGCGUUCUCUCUCUUUUCUCUCUACUGUCUCUCUCUCGCUCCCCGCCUCCGGCAGAUGUCGCCGGUCCUCCCCGCCUCCGGCGCGGCGAGGCCGGCCCUCUCCUUCCCCCUCCUUUUCUUUCUUCCCUAUUUCCUUCCCGAUCUCUAAAAUCCCCAAAUUCUAGGGUUUGCUGCCUCCCUUUUUCCUCUGAAAUUCGCCCCUCCGGCGAGGCCCGUCGCCGCUGCUACCACCACCGUCUCCGUCGCACCACCGCUCUCUUCGUCCCAGAAUUAAUCGGCGUCGCCGCCUCCGGCGUGGCAGCUUCGUCAACUGCUCAAGAUUCUACCGUUUCUUCCUUUCUUUUAUUAACUAAUGAAAACUGAGUUUUGAUGGUGAAGCAUACCAUGUUAUAAUCUAUGUUUAUGCUUAACUAGUAUAUCUAUAUCUAUUUUCAUUG